rnacentral:rRNA from 1 species
AGAGUUUGAUCCUGGCUCAGGAUGAACGCUGGCGGCGUGCUUAACACAUGCAAGUCGAACGGACUCAUAUUGAAACCUAGUGAUUUAUGAGUUAGUGGCGGACGGGUGAGUAACGCGUGGAUAACCUGCCGUAUACCGGGGGAUAACACUUAGAAAUAGGUGCUAAUACCGCAUAAGCGCACGGCUCCGCAUGGGGCAGUGUGAAAAACUCCGGUGGUAUACGAUGGAUCCGCGUCUGAUUAGCUAGUUGCGGGGGUAACGGCCCACCAAGGCAGCGAUCAGUAGCCGGCCUGAGAGGGUGGACGGCCACAUUGGGACUGAGACACGGCCCAAACUCCUACGGGAGGCAGCAGUGGGGAAUAUUGCACAAUGGGGGAAACCAUGAUGCAGCGACGCCGCGUGAGUGAAGAAGUAUCUCGGUACGUAAAGCUCUAUCAGCAGGGAAGAAAAUGACGGUACCUGACUAAGAAGCCCCGGCUAACUACGUG